CCUACGGGUGGCAGCAGUGAGGAAUAUUGGUCAAUGGUCGAGAGACUGAACCAGCCAAGUCGCGUGAGGGAGGACGGCCCUGCGUAUUGUAAACCUCUUUUGUCAGGGAACAAAGACUGGCACGCGUCACCGGUUGAGUGUACCUGAAGAAAAAGCAUCGGCUAACUCCGUGCCAGCAGCCGCGGUAAUACGGAGGCUGCGAGCGUUAUCCGGAUUUAUUGGGUUUAAAGGGUGCGCAGGCGGUGGUUUAAGUCAGCGGUAAAAUGCCGGGGCUCAACCCCGGACCGCCGUUGAAACUGGCAGCCUUGAGUAGGAGAGAAGUAUGCGGAAUGCGUGGUGUAGCGGUGAAAUGCAUAGAUAUCACGCAGAACUCCGAUUGCGAAGGCAGCAUGCCGGCGCGCCACUGACGCUGAUGCACGAAAGCGUGGGUAUCGAACAGGAUUAGAUACCCUGGUAGUC
rnacentral:rRNA from 1 species